rnacentral:rRNA from 1 species
UGGUGGGUAGUUUGACUGGGGCGGUCUCCUCCCAAAGCGUAACGGAGGAGCACGAAGGUUAGCUAAUCCUGGUCGGACAUCAGGAGGUUAGUGCAAUGGCAUAAGCUAGCUUGACUGCGAGCGUGACGGCGCGAGCAGGUGCGAAAGCAGGUCAUAGUGAUCCGGUGGUUCUGAAUGGAAGGGCCAUCGCUCAACGGAUAAAAGGUACUCCGGGGAUAACAGGCUGAUACCGCCCAAGAGUUCAUAUCGACGGCGGUGUUUGGCACCUCGAUGUCGGCUCAUCACAUCCUGGGGCUGAAGUAGGUCCCAAGGGUAUGGCUGUUCGCCAUUUAAAGUGGUACGCGAGCUGGGUUUAGAACGUCGUGAGACAGUUCGGUCCCUAUCUGCCGUGGGCGCUGGAGAAUUGAGGGGGGCUGCUCCUAGUACGAGAGGACCGGAGUGGACGCAUCACUGGUGUUCGGGUUGUCAUGCCAAUGGCACUGCCCGGUAGCUAAAUGCGGAAGAGAUAAGUGCUGAAAGCAUCUAAGCACGAAACUUGCCCCGAGAUGAGUUCU